UUUUUUAAUUGAAAACUUGUAUGAAUGGUUGAAUGAAAUAUAAACUGUUUCAAAUAAAAUUAAUAUAAAAUUUUAUUUUUUAGUUAAAAAGCUAAAAUAUAAUUAAAGGACGAGAAGACCCUAUAAAGUUUUAUAAUUAUUUAUUAUUAAUUAAUAAAGAAUUAUAUAUAUAUAUAUAUAUAUUAUAAUAUAAAUAAUUUAUAUUAAAUAAUUAUUUUGUUGGGGCGACAAUAAAAUUUAAUAAACUUUUAUUAUUUUAUACAUAGAUUAAUGAAUUUUAUGAUCCAUUUUUUUUUGAUUAAAAAUUUAAAUUACUUUAGGGAUAACAGCGUUAUUUUUUUUUUAAGUUCAUAUUUAUAAAAAAGAUUGC
rnacentral:rRNA from 1 species